GUGAAUCAUCGAAUUUUUGAACGCAAAUUGCACUCUCUGCGGAGAGGAUGCGUGUUUGAGUUUGAGGCUAAGAAAAAUCGACAUUGGGUGUGGUUCGCGGUGACAGUCGUGGGAAAUUGGAUCAGGGUAGACUUUUGGUUGGUAAGCUGAUUAAAAUUUUCUUUACAAUUUUUCGAACGGUUCUAAGAUGUUACUUCUUACACGUUUAAGGUAUCGAUCUUUAUGAGGUGUGGCUGUUGAAUCGGAUCACUUACAUAAAUAUUUAGUGAACUGACCUCAUACAGGUAAAAACA
rnacentral:misc_RNA from 1 species